ACCUUUCUGUCUCUAGCAUUCAGGUGUUUGCAACGUGCUUGCAGCAGGUACUGCUGAAAAUAGGAUGUGCUUGCUCUAUAGCCACACAGCCAUGCUUGGGAGUGCCUACCAACAUAUUUGCUAAUUUUACAUUUGCAGUGUAACAACGUGCUGUCCCAUAUGUUGCUGUCCCAUCUGUGAGCCUUGCAGUUUGUGUAAAGAAUGGAGGUAGAGGUGUGAAGUUGUACUGCCCCAUUCUGCAGCUGAAAAGUGAAAGUACAGAAGGAUGGAAGAGCUUGCUGAAGGUCACAGUGCAGAGCCCUGAUUUCUCCUGUUAAGUCUUCAGGUUCCUGAAGUGGUAGUGGAAACUGUACUGUGGCCAGAGCUUUUUUCCUUCUUUCUCCUUCCCCUGCACCUCAGAAGGGGGGCUGGUCUGCAGGAAAAGCCCAAGGAAGAAUGGACAUUUGAACCCAGAAGGAGGGAGAUGUCUACACUUGAAGUGUGCUUAGUCACCUAAAGCAGAUGGUGUUGUUUCUGGCUCCUGAUGGGAUGACUUUCAGCUCCCAAAAGCCUUUCAAGUUUGACCAGGCAGACAUGUUUGGAAGAAUGUCAUAUGGGCACACAUCUGUCCAAGGUUCUUUACCAAACAGCGACAUGAGUACAAUUAAAUUAACAAAGGAAGAGUUCACAAUUACAGCUGGAGCAAGUGUAUGGCUUGCUUUCAAAGAUCUGCUUGAAUACUGUUCUCAUAAAAUGCACUCAGGAAGAAGUGCUUUGGACACUGGUUGUGCUAACAGAGAGGUCUGCUUCCUGGAACUGAAGAUGUCUCCUGGAACCACACCUGGAACAUUUGGAAACUUGGAUUUGCCUGGGGUUAGUUGCAGCUGAAAUUUCAGCUCCGUUAACAUCUAAAGUAUUAAAUAUCUUCCCUUCUUGCGCUGGACCUUUUAUCUUGGAGAUGGUCUUCAAUGAUGCAGAUGAAACAAAGCAUGGCAAAAGUGAGCUGACCACCUGCAAGUGGAUGGGAAAGGGCCUCCAGCAUGCUGGAUUCCACUUCAAGACAGGGUGCUAACCCUCCUUGCAGCUGCUUUGGGCAUGUUUGCCUGUCUGGUAGCACUUUCUUCGGCUCUCUGCAAGCUGCGCCGUUCCAGGAACUUCUGCACUUUCCUUUUGGUGUGGUUUUCUUUCUCUGCAUGCAUCAAGCCAAGGAAGCGACGGCUUGCAGAGAAGGUGCUAGCAAACCUGGCUCUUACUCCCUGUGCAUUUUUAAAAAAUGAGAACAUCCUU
ensembl:lncRNA